AUUGAACGCUGGCGGCAGGCCUAACACAUGCAAGUCGAGCGGAUGAAGGGAGCUUGCUCCUGGAUUCAGCGGCGGACGGGUGAGUAAUGCCUAGGAAUCUGCCUGGCAGUGGGGGAUAACGUCCGGAAACGGGCGCUAAUACCGCAUACGUCCUGAGGGAGAAAGUGGGGGAUCUUCGGACCUCACGCUAUCAGAUGAGCCUAGGUCGGAUUAGCUAGUUGGUGGGGUAAAGGCCUACCAAGGCGACGAUCCGUAACUGGUCUGAGAGGAUGAUCAGUCACAAUGGAACUGAGACACGGUCCAGACUCCUACGGGAGGCAGCAGUGGGGAAUAUUGGACAAUGGGCGAAAGCCUGAUCCAGCCAUGCCGCGUGUGUGAAGAAGGUCUUCGGAUUGUAAAGCACUUUAAGUUGGGAGGAAGGGCAGUAAGUUAAUACCUUGCUGUUUUGACGUUACCAACAGAAUAAGCACCGGCUAACUUCGUG
rnacentral:rRNA from 1 species